GACGAACGCUGGCGGCGUGCUUAACACAUGCAAGUCGAACGAUGAAGAAGAGCUUGCUCUUCGGAUUAGUGGCGAACGGGUGAGUAACACGUGACUAACCUGCCCCUUUCUCUGGGAUAACGCUCCGAAAGGAGUGCUAAUACCGGAGACUCACAUCGAGGCACAUGCCUUGAUGUGGAAAGUUUUUCGGAAAGGGAUGGAGUCGCGGCCUAUCAGCUUGUUGGUGAGGUAACGGCUCACCAAGGCGACGACGGGUAGCCGGCCUGAGGGGGCGACCGGCCACACUGGGACUGAGACACGGCCCAGACUCCUACGGGAGGCAGCAGUGGGGAAUAUUGCACAAUGGGCGAAAGCCUGAUGCAGCGACGCCGCGUGAGGGAUGAAGGUCUUCGGAUUGUAAACCUCUUUCAGUAGGGACGAAGCGAAAGUGACGGUACCUAAAGAAGAAGCACCGGCUAACUACGUGCCAGCCGCCGCCGUAA
rnacentral:rRNA from 1 species